rnacentral:tRNA from 1 species
GCCUGGGUGGCUCAGUCGGUUGAGCGUCUAACUUCGGCUCAGGUCACGAUCUCGCGGUCCGUGAGUUUGAGCCCCACGUCAGGCU